rnacentral:rRNA from 1 species
AUGGGGGACAGGAAGGUCCCAGCUUUGGAGGGAGUGGAAUGUAAGCUGGAAAAGUUGAAGCUCUCGGAUGCAGAGAAGAAAGGCAUUAAGAUUGGAAAGAAGCAGGCUUGUUCUCCUACCAUGGGCAAGCUACAAGCAGUGGGUAAGCUCUUCUCAGAAAGACCGGCAAAAUCUGAAUAUUUGGGGAGAACUUUAGCAGGGGUUUGGUUUCCUUUCUCAAGGGUAGAAUGCAAGGAUAUGGGAAGGAAUCAGUUUCUUUUCACAUUCCAUGAAGAAGCAAGCAAGAAGAAGGCACUAGAAAAUGGCCCAUGGAUGUUCAACAAAAACUUGCUAGUGAUGGAAGAUUUUGUACCCAGUUAUACUAUUGAUGAGUAUGAUUUUAAGAUGAUCCCCAUCUGGGUCAGAGCUUAUGGUAUCCCUAUGGGAAUGAUGAGCAUGGAAACAGGAGAUCUGCUGGGAGAACAAAUAGGAGAAGUGUUGGAUGUUGAUCUAGAUGAUGACGGAAACGCGAUGGCGGAAUUCAUGCGAUAUAACAACUCCAAUAAUGAGGUUCGUCACACUGGAACUGGAAGAGGAUGA